rnacentral:tRNA from 2 species
GGAGAGAUGGCUGAGUGGACUAAAGCGUCGGAUUGCUAAUCCGUUGUACGAAUUAUUCGUACCGAGGGUUCGAAUCCCUCUCUCUCCGACCCCC